CCGAAAUUACGCCAUUGAAGCUAGCUAGGGCAUUUGGUCAAGCUUCCUUGUUUGCAUGAUACUCCACAACUCGUGUGAGCAGCAUCGUGUAGCUCACAUUCCGACCCACAGCUCGUGUGAGCAGGCCCUUUUCACAGCUCGUGUAAGCAAUGAUGUAAAGGAAAGUUAUGGUUAUAUGUUGAGGCACACUUCGUGUGAGCUUUCCCGAGUAUCCGAUGAAAUUCUAGAUGGUUUAACAGGCAAGAAAAGGGAUUGAAAUGAUUACUGGAAGCUCAUUGAAAGCUCGUCGAAGAUCUCACACUAUCUAGCAUAAAUAUCGGUAAUUUUUGAAUGUUUUGGCCAAUUUUAUAAUGGCAUGUAUAGGUUGAACUGUAAUGGCAUUUUGUUGGAUGUUUUAUUGGUGUUUAAAAUGUAUAAGUUGUGGAAGUUAACUUGGUUUGUACCAUUUGGUGCCAUGUUAGAUUGUGUCUAUUUGGUUAUCUUGUGAUGUAUAUCUUGAA